UGAGGAAUAUUGGUCAAUGGGCGCGAGCCUGAACCAGCCAAGUAGCGUGAAGGAUGAAGGUCCUAUGGAUUGUAAACUUCUUUUAUAGCAGAAUAAAGUGACCCACGUGUGGGUUUUUGUAUGUAUGCUAUGAAUAAGGAUCGGCUAACUCCGUGCCAGCAGCCGCGGUAAUACGGAGGAUCCGAGCGUUAUCCGGAUUUAUUGGGUUUAAAGGGUGCGUAGGCGGAAAGAUAAUUCAGCCUGUGAAAGUUUGCGGCUCAACCGUAAAAUUGCAGUCGAUACUGUUUUUCUUGAGUGUACAUAAGGUAGGCGGAAUUCGUGGUGUAGCGGUGAAAUGCUUAGAUAUCACGAAGAACUCCGAUUACGAAGGCAGCUUACCGGGGUACAACUGACGCUGAUGCACGAAAGUGUGGGUA
rnacentral:rRNA from 1 species